rnacentral:lncRNA from 1 species
ACAUAAACCUUGAGUGUAGUCUACUGCACACCUGGGCAAUAUGGUAUAGCGUAUUGCUCCUAGGCUGCCAACCUGCACAGCAUGUUAUUGUACUGAACAAUGUAGGCAAUGUAACGCAAUGAUAUUUGUGUAUCUAAACAUACCUAAAUGCAGAAAUGCUGCAGUAGAUAUACAACAUAAAAGAUUGUUUUUAAGUCCACCUGUAGAAGGCACUUACCAUGAAUUGAACUUGCAGGCUUGGAAAUAUCUCUGGGUUCUGCUUGAAUUCUUGCCCUGGCUCUUGGUGAAGGAUCGGCCUGCUGGAUCUGAGUCAUCCACCUAUAAGAGGGACAACACCACACAUUGGUCGCUGCUCUCAAGCCCCUGGAAUACCACCCCACUUGGCUUCUCCUGAGAUGGGCUCUCACUAUAGCCCUGUUCUGGAACUCCUGGGCUCAAGCCAUCCUCCCACUUUGGCCUCCCCAAAAUGCUGGGAUUACAGGCGUGAACCACCGCAUCUAGCCUAAAAUUAUAUUGUUAAAAGACUUUGUUUCUCAGUUUGGGAUAAUCAGAAUUCAUAGUUCUGAUCUCGACUACCAGUUUUAAUGAGGUACUUCUUUCUAACUCCAUCAGCUGUGUGGCUAUCUGCAGAUUCUGCUAUCAGCUACAGGUCUGGGUUUGUGUCUCCGACAAAGAACCACCUCAAAGCCCCACAGAAAAGGACUGUACCGUAUACUUCAAACUAUUGACACCUCAAAGAACAGAGCUUGGGUUCAGGCUUCUGAUGCAUUCUGAGACACUCUCAGACCAUACCAGUGGGCUGGGUCAGGAUUUACAGAACUAUUUUCAUUUCAAGAGCAUACGGGCUCAUGAGAUUGCUAACUCAAGAUCCGGUGGAACAGAAAUACUUAUAUCGGACUGAAUAAACUGAUGAGGAAAA